AAGAUGGCUUCCCCGAGUGUAAACAGGAAGUAGAAGUUUAGAACAAAUGAAAUACACCAGAGGAAACAAACUCUGCAAAUGAGCAUUUCCUCUUCAUCCUGUGGGAUUUGUUGUUGCACAUAUUUAUCAAGAACUUGCUUAUGUUCUUAUGAGACCAGCGUGUGUGGACGUCGCCAUCUGCUUCUCUGACCUCAGUGAGUGGAACACGCUGAACUUGGCUGUGAGGACGUGCCCAGCUCGGCCCUCUCAUCCUCCUCAUCCGGAUUCUUUAACAGAGGGAGCCACUGCCGGCUCUGGCGUCAGAUUGCCGUUUGGUUUCGAUCGAGACGCUGUCCUUGUGUUGGGGUGGACUGAAGCGGCUUGGAGGAGGGUCGCGCUCCCCGAGUGCUUUUCAACUGGCGAGCUGCGCUGCUUGAGCGAAGAACGAAGAGGAGGAAGAUGUUUGGUGGUGAAGAUCUGUCGAAUCUUCUGAAGCCGCCGGCGUCAGGGAGAUCAAACAGACGUGUCGCGACACAGGAGCAUGUUUCCAGCGAGGCUGCGAGGCAGCGCACGGCCGUCCUCCAUGUUGAGCUUGGGCUGAGCGCCGGAGGUCGACCUGGACUCGGUUCAGGCUCCGCAGCACUCUCAGCGAACGACCUUCACUGACCUGAGACAAAGCAGCCCGGAGCCCAGACGUCUGAAGAGGGAUUGAGUCUUGUAGCUGACUCUGACUCAGGCUCCCCUGCUUCCACGUGACUCGCUGAAGAGACUCAGAGGGGAUUCAGUUUCUAAUUUGUCCACAGUUACGGUUACA